AGGGUUUGAUCCUGGCUCAGAAUGAACGUUGGCGGCGUGGAUCAGGCAUGCAAGUCGUACGAAUGCCGGUUGGGUAACUGACCGGAGGAAGUGGCGAAAGGGGCAGUAAGGCAUGGGUAACCUGCCCCGGACUUUGGAAUAGCCUUCCUAACGGAAGGGUAAUACCAAAUGCCGUAUCGGGGGGGCAUCCUCCUGCUACGAAAGCUUCGGCGGUCCGGGUGGGGCUCAUGUGGUAUUAGCUAGUUGGUGAGGUAACGGCUCACCAAGGCAAAGAUGCCUAGCGGGUGUGAGAGCACGACCCGCGCCACUGGCACUGCGACACUGGCCAGACUCCUACGGGAGGCUGCAGUCGAGGAUCUUCGGCAAUGGGCGAAAGCCUGACCGAGCGACGCCGCGUGGGCGAUGAAGGCCUUCGGGUUGUAAAGCCCUGUCGUGGGGGAGAAAAGCGCAAGCUUGAUCGACCCCAGGAGGAAGCUCGGGCUAAGUUCGUGCCAGCAGCCGCGGUAAGACGAACCGAGCGAACGUUAUUCGGAAUCACUGGGCUUAAAGGGCGCGUAGGCGGGCCUCCAAGUCAGGGGUGAAAUCCCACGGCUCAACCGUGGAAGUGCCUUUGAUACUGGCGGCCUUGAGCGAGGUAGGGGCGUGCGGAACUUCCGGUGGAGCGGUGAAAUGCGUAGAUAUCGGAAGGAACACCGGUGGCGAAAGCGGCACGCUGGACCUCUUCUGACGCUGAGGCGCGAAAGCUAGGGGAGCAAACGGGAUUAGAUACCCCGGUAGUCCUAGCCCUAAACGAUGGGCACUAGAUUGUAGACUUACAUGGGUUUACAGUCGAAGCAAAAGUGUUAAGUGCCCCGCCUGGGGAGUAUGGUCGCAGGGCUGAAACUCAAAGGAAUUGACGGGGGCUCACACAAGCGGUGGAGCAUGUGGCUUAAUUCGAGGCAACGCGAAGAACCUUAUCCUGGGCUUGACAUGCGCGAAAGCGGUAGGGGUAGCUGGUGGAAACAUCAGUGACGCCCGCAAGGGUAGUCCUACCACAGGUGCUGCAUGGCUGUCGUCAGCUCGUGUCGUGAGAUGUCGCGUUAAGUCGCAUAACGAGCGCAACCCCUGUCUCCAGUUGCCAGCGCCUCGGGCGGGGACUCUGGAGAGACUGCCGGUGUUAAACCGGAGGAAGGUGGGGAUGCCGUCAAGUCCUCAUGGCCCUUAUGCCCAGGGCUGCACACGUGCUACAAUGGCGCGCACAAAGGGAAGCGAACUUGCAAAAGCCAGCAAAUCCCAAAAAACGCGCCCCAGUUCAGAUCGCAGUCUGCAACUCGACUGCGUGAAGUUGGAAUCGCUAGUAAUCGCGGGUCAGCAACACCGCGGUGAAUGUGUUCCUGAGCCUUGUACACACCGCCCGUCAAGCCACGAAAGGGAGGGAGGGGCCAAGUCGCCGUGCCGACCGCAAGGAGGCAAGCCCUAACCCUUAAUUCCUGAUUGGGACUAAGUCGCAACAAGGU
rnacentral:rRNA from 1 species